CCUACGGGAGGCAGCAGUGAGGAAUAUUGGUCAAUGGACGAGAGUCUGAACCAGCCAAGUAGCGUGAAGGAUGACUGCCCUAUGGGUUGUAAACUUCUUUUAUAAAGGAAUAAAACGAGGCACGUGUGCCUUUUUGCAUGUACUUUAUGAAUAAGGAUCGGCUAACUCCGUGCCAGCAGCCGCGGUAAUACGGAGGAUCCGAGCGUUAUCCGGAUUUAUUGGGUUUAAAGGGAGCGUAGAUGGGUUGUUAAGUCAGUUGUGAAAGUUUGCGGCUCAACCGUAAAAUUGCAAGUGAUACUGGCAGUCGUGAGUACAGUUGAGGUAGGCGGAAUUCGUGGUGUAGCGGUGAAAUGCUUAGAUAUCACGAAGAACCUCGAUUGCGAAGGCAGCUUACUAAACUGUGACUGACAUUGAUGCUCGAAAGUGUGGGUAUCAAACAGGAUUAGAUACCCUGGUAGU
rnacentral:rRNA from 1 species